UCCCCGAUGGUCUAGUGGCUAUGAUUUCCGCUUGUCAAGUGACAAAGCGCGGGAGACCAGGGUUCGAUUCCCUGUCGAGGAG
rnacentral:tRNA from 1 species